CAGUCGCCGCGGUAAUACGAAGGGGGCUAGCGUUGUUCGGAUUUACUGGGCGUAAAGGGUGCGUAGGCGGAUUGUUAAGUCAGGGGUGAAAUCCCGAGGCUCAACCUCGGAACUGCCCUUGAUACUGGGUGUCUUGAGUCCGGAAGAGGUGAGUGGAACUGCGAGUGUAGAGGUGAGAUUCGUAGAUAUUCGCAAGAACACCGGUGGCGAAGGCGGCUCACUGGUCCGGAACUGACGCUGAGGCACGACAGCGUGGGGAGCAAACAGGAUUAGAUACCCGCGUAGUCCCUGUCUCUUAUAC
rnacentral:rRNA from 1 species